UAACCACCUAUCCUCUCCCUUCGCCUCCUCCCGCCGCCACAGUUCCUGCUUGGGAAGUCUCCGGUUGGGUGUCUCCCAGCACCGUCGAGGAGGACCAGGAGGUCACCCUUACCUGUGAGACUUCCUCCAGCCUCCCGCCCUCCAACAUCACCUGGCGCUCGAAGGGCACGACACUCGAGGGCGCCACCACCAAGCACACGCCAGGGGUCUUUGGAGGAACAGUGACGAGAUCGGAACUUGUGUUGAAACCCAAAGCUGAAGAUAACGAAAAGGUGUUCGUAUGUGAAGCUGAUAACGACCUCGGAGUCAUUGUCACGGCAAACGUUUCGCUAAACGUACUACAUGAGCCCGUGUGGGUGACGACGCCUGCGCACACGGUGGAGGUGGAAGAAGGGGAUGACCUGCUUCUGGUGGCGCUGGCGGCCGCUAACCCAGGCCCCGUCAGGUACGUUG